ensembl:rRNA 5S_rRNA 5S ribosomal RNA
AUCCAUGGCCAUGCCACUCAGAACAAGACCAAUACCAUCUGAUCUCGGAAGCUAAGCAGAGCCGGGCCUGGUUAGUACUUGAAUGGGAGAGAUCACCUAGGAAGACCACGUGCUGUAGGCA